AUUUCUUCACCCAUUUUGAGUCAAUAAUCCUACUGUUUAUAAAUAAUCAUAAUUUAUCUGUGGCAGUGUGGCUCUUUAACAGAAACCUUCUCUGUGCUGAGCCUGUCCUCAAGUCUGACAUCACAUGGAUCCAGUUAAAUACACAACAAAGGAGGGCCACAAAGUCACAAAGUGCACAUCUGUCAACAGAAUGGCUUAUGCAAGCUGCCCAGCAUCUCACUGGUGCACCAAAUGCAUCUACAGCUACAUAACAUGAGUUCUGCAUGGAGGACUACAAACUUUGCUGUGAAGCAGAAAGGGAGCUUACCUAGGAAUUUGCAAAGUCUAGCAAUACAGAGGAUGAAACAAAGCUGCAGGAAAGGCUGAAGAAAAAGUGUGUUUUUCUUCCAUAUGGCAUUCCAAAAGAAACAAACUGGGAAUGACGCCGCAUGGUAACAGUCUUGAGAUGAUGUUCAGUGAGCUGAUUCCCCUGUCUCUGCAAGC